GACGAACGCUGGCGGCGUGCCUAAUACAUGCAAGUAGAACGCUGAAGGAGGAGCUUGCUUCUCUGGAUGAGUUGCGAACGGGUGAGUAACGCGUAGGUAACCUGCCUGGUAGCGGGGGAUAACUAUUGGAAACGAUAGCUAAUACCGCAUAAGAGUAGAUGUUGCAUGGCAUUUGCUUAAAAGGUGCAAUUGCAUCACUACCAGAUGGACCUGCGUUGUAUUAGCUAGUUGGUGGGGUAACGGCUCACCAAGGCGACGAUACAUAGCCGACCUGAGAGGGGGAUCGGCCACACUGGGACUGAGACACGGCCCAGACUCCUACGGGAGGCAGCAGUAGGGAAUCUUCGGCAAUGGACGGAAGUCUGACCGAGCAACGCCGCGUGAGUGAAGAAGGUUUUCGGAUCGUAAAGCUCUGUUGUAAGAGAAGAACGAGUGUGAGAGUGGAAAGUUCACACUGUGACGGUAUCUUACCAGAAAGGGACGGCUAACUACGUG
rnacentral:rRNA from 1 species